rnacentral:rRNA from 1 species
UACAGAGGGUGCAAGCGUUGCUCGGAUUUACUGGGCGUAAAGCGUACGCAGACGGCCACGCAGGUCGGGUGUGAAAGCCCCGGGCUCAACCCGGGAAUUGCAUUCGAAACCAUGUGGCUCGAGUGUGGGAGAGGGUAGUGGAAUUCCACGUGUAGCGGUGAAAUGCGUAGAGAUGUGGAGGAACACCGAUGGCGAAGGCAGCCUCCUGGGCCAACACUGACGCUCAUGCACGAAAGCGUGGGGAGCAAACAGG